CGAACGCUGGCGGCGUGCUUAACACAUGCAAGUCGAACGGUAAGGCCCCAGCUUGCUGGGGUACACGAGUGGCGAACGGGUGAGUAACACGUGGGUGACCUGCCCCGCACUUCGGGAUAAGCCUGGGAAACUGGGUCUAAUACCGGAUAGGACCGCACCGUGAGGGUGUGGUGGAAAGUUUUUCGGUGUGGGAUGGGCCCGCGGCCUAUCAGCUUGUUGGUGGGGUAAUGGCCUACCAAGGCGGCGACGGGUAGCCGGCCUGAGAGGGUGGACGGCCACAUUGGGACUGAGACACGGCCCAGACUCCUACGGGAGGCAGCAGUGGGGAAUAUUGCACAAUGGGCGGAAGCCUGAUGCAGCGACGCCGCGUGGGGGAUGACGGCCUUCGGGUUGUAAACUCCUUUCUCCAUCGACGAAGGUUUUCUGACGGUAGAUGGAGAAGAAGCACCGGCUAACUACGUG
rnacentral:rRNA from 1 species